rnacentral:lncRNA from 1 species
CUAUUAUAUACACAAUAGGUAGCACAUUAUAUAUACUUGAAAUAUGUGUAUAAUAAAUAUAUGUGGAUCUGAAAUAAAUAUAAUAAAAAUUUUGAUGAAACUGGGUGGCAGAUACAAAGAUAUUUGAUAUACUCUUCUCCAUACUUUUCUCAUACUUGCUAUAUUUUGUUAGAAAUUUAAAAAUUCAUAGUUAUAAGAAAACGCAAAAUAGAGUACUAAGACCGAAUUUUUUUUUUUUUUUUUGGCCUCUACAGGUGCCUAACACAGAAAAGGACUAGAACUCCAGAUAUUUCCCACUUUCAAAAAAUUGGCCUCCUAAAGGAUGUCACCAGCAACUGGAAUGGGGAGGAAACGAGACUAAGAAAGUACCCGAGUCAGAAAGAAGGGGAAGCCCCAUUGGAAGUGUGGGCCCUAAGGACAUGGAAGCUGGCUUUUUGUUUUUUAAGGUCUCAGAGUGAGAAACAAGAUGCUCCAUGUUUAUCUGUGCAGUUAAUCAGGAAGAAUUCAUGAGACACCACGGACGGAGGCUCCUCUGGAAUAUGGAACUGGGCUCUCAGGCUUCCUUUGCACUGCGUGCUCUCUUGUUCCACUUGAACGUCUGGUUCUAAAUUUGUUUCAUUUUCACCAUAAAAUGAGGGGGAAUCAUUGUGAUGAGCAGCGAGCCAUGGUGUGUCUCCCCCAAGACCUUGCUUGAGCAGAUUAGAAGGUGCCUUCAAAAGCCGCUUCUCUCUGCACCCACUCAUUCAUUCAGGACAUAGGUGAUAAGUGUUUCCUACAUGCCAGGCACAGUUCUGAAAGCUGAGGAUACAGCAGUGAACAAACAGAUGAAAAUCCCUGCCCUCCUGGGGGCUUAGAUUCUACCGAGUAUAGAAAGACAUAGAACAAAAUUAAUUUAUUAAGCGUCCCCUCGUGCCCAGCGGCUUAAGGAUCUGGCAUUGUCACUGCAGCAGCGUGGGUACUUGCUGUGGCUUGGGUUGGAUCCCUGGCCCGGGAACUUGUGCAUUUCAGGAGCACAGCCAAAAUAAUAAUAAUAAUAAACAAUUUGGUACAGGGGAGGAGAAAGGACA